rnacentral:rRNA from 1 species
AUGAUGGAGUCAAUGGCAAGUAUUGCUCCAAGUGCCGGCUCAACUACAGCAAUAGGACUUGAAGAUGAUGCCAACAACUUUUCCAUGGUCCAAAGGGGAUUGGACAUACAUGAUGAAGAUUGUUUCAACACACCAAAAAGAACCAGUAGCCUCCCCGCGUGUGGGUCAACUUAUGAGCCUGAGUGUGAUGAUAGCCUACAACCCUCAAUUGGCAUGCGAUUUGAUAGCUGGGAGGCAGGUUUAGCAUUCUAUAGAAUGUAUGCCCAUGAGGUUGGCUUCUCUGUACGCAUAUGGACACAACACAAAGGAGAGGGUGGUGUAAUAAUUUGGAAGAAGUUUGUUUGUGCAAGAGAAGGUUGGAGGAAGGAAAAGUCAGUGGAAAUUGCCCAAGAUACUCAGGAAAUGCAGAGAAAAAUGGUUAAAAGAAAUAUCAAGAUAACCAGAUGCGGUUGUGAGGCUAUGAUCAGAUUGAAGAGGCAAGUUGAUGGCAAGUAUGAGGUCGUCCAGUUUGUUCAAUCACACACGCACCAACUUAUCUCACCAAGUAAGAGACAUCUCAUCCGGUCAAAUAGAGAGGUAACUAGUGAUUUGAGAAACAAACUAUUUACAUGCAGUAUGGCAUUGCUUGGCACAUCAAAAACUUAUCGCGUGCUUACUAUUGAGAAAGGUGGGCCAGGGAACAUAGGUUGCACGAAACGUGACUUACAAAACUAUGACCAUGAUUUUAGGGCAGCAAUUAAGGGAGCAGAUGGACAACUUAUAGUAGAUAUAAUGGAAAAUAAAAAGAAGGCCAAUCCAGCAUUCUAUUUUGAUUACCUGGUAGAGGAGAACAAUAAACUGACAAAUAUUUUCUGGGCAGAUAGUAUAUGUAGAAAGAACUACUCAUUGUUUGGUGAUGUUGUGUCAUUCGACUCUACAUAUAGAUUCAACAAGUAUGACCUGGUAUUUACCCCUUUUACUGGAGUUAACCAUCAUAAAUCUUGUGUUACAUUUGGUGCUGCUUUUUUGUCAAAUGAGAAGAUUGCAUCAUACAAAUGGUUAUUCCAGACUUUCUUGAAAGCAAUGUGUGGGGUUGCACCAAAGCUAAUCAUAACUGAGCUGCAAGAGGACAAUUCUAGCGACUCAAGACACUUCACAACAUCCAGCUUUCCUUGA